rnacentral:rRNA from 1 species
GCGGAGGAAAAGAAACUAACAAGGAUUCCCCUAGUAACGGCGAGUGAACAGGGAACAAGCUCAAAGUUGGAAUCUAUCUGGCUUAGCCAGAUCGAAUUGUAAACUUUAGAGUCGUUGUCCAGACCAGCCGAGUAAAUAAGUUCCUUGGAAUAGGACAUCAUGGAGGGUGAGAAUCCCGUCUUUGGCUUGAGCAUUGGUCUUUUGUGAUGCGACUUCAACGAGUCAGGUUGUUUGGGAAUGCAGCCUUAAUUGGGUGGUAAAUCUCACCUAAAGCUAAAUAUUGGCGAGAGACCGAUAGCGAACAAGUACCGUGAGGGAAAGAUGAAAAGAACUUUGAAAAGAGAGUUAAACAGUAUGUGAAAUUGCUAAAAGGGAACCGUUUGAAGUCAGUCUGGCUGGUCUGCAAUCAGCUUCAACCUUGGUUGGAGUGCACUUGUAGGCCAUUUGCCUGCCAACAACAGUUUGUUCUGCAGCAAAAAGGUGUUGAGAAUGUGGCUUUCUCUUCGGAGGAAGUGUUAUAGCUCUUCGCGAAAUACUGUGGUUCAGACUGAGGCUUGCAGUGAAUGCUUUUUGGCUUUGGGGAUGGAUUGCUCAGUGCUUUGCUUGGUUAGUUUCGGCCGUCAAACGUCGUGCUGGCUAAGUGAGGUCUGACUCGGUUCAUUCACUUUUAAUUCACUUUGGUUGUUGGCUUAAUGACUUUAAACGACCCGU